rnacentral:lncRNA from 1 species
CUCUAGUUUCUUCCUGCAAACGGCAGAUUCAGUUGUUCUUUUGUUUUUCCCAGGUUUGUAAAAUGGAGAAUGACAUCCUCCUAGGAUUGUGAGGACUAGGACAGUGCUGUCCCAGGCACAUACUACGGGGAUGCUCAGUAACCGUUGGCUCUGUGUCACAAAUGCUCAUGAGGAUGGCUGGAGACAGGUGAAUACAUGCUCCUGAACUCAUCCAGCUUCUGAUUCAGUUCCAUUCCCUCCAGAAGCUCCGAGAAACCCAGCUCUGCUCUGGAUAGGCCCUGCUACUCGAUGUGCAUGCUCAAGGCAAAUGACUCCAUCCUCAGGAUCAGGCUCUUGCCAACUUACAGCCUCAACUCUUCCAUGGCUUCUGCCAAGCCUCCUACCCAAGCCUCCCUCCGGCUUCCCACAAGCUCUCAGCACACACUGGGCCAACCCCUCUCCUGGCACACGCCACGUGGCUUUGUGAUUACCCUGUAGGUGUAGCCUCCUCCUUUACUCAGGGUAUCAUAAUUGUCUCCCGAUAGUCUUGAGAGAUGCAUCCCAAGGCUGUCACAAAUCCCUAGGUGUUUUAGUACCUUUUUCUCUUUUUACUUCUAUUUCCAGGUUCAGUGUUGAUCCCCAGUUUUAUUCAGGCUGCUUAGGUUCAAUCUGCAACUCUGUCACUCACAAACUGUGAGAGUUUGUGCUGUAGUUUGGAGAUGGUUUGUUCCACAAAAGAAAGGUGCCUAUGCUGGAAACUUGGUCCCCAGGGGGGUGGUGUUGACAUGGUAGACCUUUUAAGAGGAGGUCCCCACCCUCACGAAUGGAUGAAUGCUGUCUCAUGGAAGUAGCUCAGGUCUGGUAGGAGUGGGUUAGUUCCUAAUGGAGCAGGUUGUUAUAAAAACAGUGAGCCUGCUACCUCUCUUUUGCUUUCUGUCUCACCAUGUGUUCUCAUUCUCCCUUCUGCACAUGGCUGGUUCCCUUUCCACUUCUCUGCCAUGUGAAUGCGGCCAGGGGUACCGUCAUUAGGAUACUAGAAUGAUGAUGUUUGAACUCUUCCACUACUACAAUUGUUAGCUGAAUAAACCUGUUUACUUUAUAAGUUAC